GCAUAAAUUGCAUAUGUUGUUAUUUAGUGUAACUCAGGCUAUGGCAGGCAAGUAACUAUCUGGCUUCAAGAGGAGCCAUUGCUCUUUCGCCCAUCGACUAUUUAUAGUUUUACCUCUGGGUUUAUUUAUAAGAUACAAUUUUGAAUAAAUGUAGUAAUUUCUGUGAAUAAUGUAUCUCUUGGUGAGCAAUAGUUCUCACAGUAAAGGAAAAUGUGCAUCUCUGUUUCUACCUCCCGUCGUGCAGCGAUCACAUACACAGCAGGUAGCCUAGUGGUUAGAGCGUUGGGCCAGUAACCAGCAGGUAGCCUAGUGGUUAGAGCGUUGGGCCAGUAACCAGCAGGUAGCCUAGUGGUUAGAGCGUUGGGCCAGUAACCAGCAGGUAGCCUAGUGGUUAGAGCGUUGGGCCAGUAACCAGCAGGUAGCCUAGUGGCUAGAGCGUUGGGCCAGUAACCAGCAGGUUGCCUAGUGGUUAGAGUGUUGGGCCAGUAACCAGCAGGUAGUCUAGUGGUUAGAGUGUUGGACCAGUAACCAGCAGGUAGACUAGUGGUUAGAGCGUUGGGCCAGUAACCAGCAGGUAGCCUAGUGGUUAGAGCAUUGGGCCAGUAACCAGCAGGUAGCCUAGUGGUUAGAGUGGAGGGCCAAUAACCGAAAGGUUGCUUGAUCGAAUCCCUGAGCUGACAAGGUAAAAAUCAGUCGUUCUGCCCCUGAACAAGGCAGUUAACUCACUGUUCCUAGACUGUCAUUGUAAAUAACAAUUUGUUCUUAACU
rnacentral:lncRNA from 1 species